GUCUACUGGCCAUGAAAGAGUGAAGGUUUUCAAAGAUGCCAGAAAUCAGAAGUUCCCCAGAGAGUUUCCACUUACUUUUUCUCAAGAGGAACAAAUAAUGAAGUCAAUGCUGUGUAAGGAGCCAAAACAACGAGCUGAAGCAAGUGCUCUAAAGGCAGAGCUGGAAAAGUUGGCUCACAUUCUCAACCCUCAAAAAACUGAACAUCAGCAAAAUGUAACAGUCUGACAGUCACACACGCAGGAGGUUAUAAACAUCUGUCUCCUCUGAUUAUACAUUUUGAUGUUAUAUGAUUUUUUUGCAAACGGUUGAUGGCUUUUAUUGUGCUUUAACCUGAGAUCUGUAGCCUACAUACAACUCACACUCAACUACACACACACACACACACACACACACACACACACACACACACACACACACACACACACACACACACACACAAACAGACCGGUUGAAUACACUUAUUGUAAGUCGCUUUGGAUAAAAGCGUCAGGUAAAUGAAAUGUAAUCAAGUGAUAUUUGAUUCAAUAAUGGAAAUGUCUUCUAUGUUAUGUAAAAGUGUUUUAAAUCAUUACAGCCAUUGCUUUGUAUUGAUUAUCAUAAGGGGGAAAUAAAAUUGUGGUUAUCUAUUUGUUA